AUCGCUUCUCGGCCUUUUGGCUAAGAUCAAGUGUAGUAUCUGUUCUUAUCAGUUUAAUAGAGACCUUGCAGAAUAUAAAAGUUCAAAGGAGGUUGGCCCUCA
rnacentral:snRNA from 1 species